GACGAACGCUGGCGGCGUGCUUAACACAUGCAAGUCGAACGGAAAGGCCCUGCUUUUGUGGGGUGCUCGAGUGGCGAACGGGUGAGUAACACGUGAGUAACCUGCCCUUGACUUUGGGAUAACUUCAGGAAACUGGGGCUAAUACCGGAUAGGAGCUCCUGCUGCAUGGUGGGGGUUGGAAAGUUUCGGCGGUUGGGGAUGGACUCGCGGCUUAUCAGCUUGUUGGUGGGGUAGUGGCUUACCAAGGCUUUGACGGGUAGCCGGCCUGAGAGGGUGACCGGCCACAUUGGGACAGAGAUACGGCCCAGAAUCCUACGGGAGGCAGCAGUGGGGAAUAUUGCACAAUGGGCGGAAGCCUGAUGCAGCAACGCCGCGUGCGGGAUGACGGCCUUCGGGUUGUAAACCGCUUUCGCCUGUGACGAAGCGUGAGUGACGGUAAUGGGUAAAGAAGCACCGGCUAACUACGUG
rnacentral:rRNA from 1 species